rnacentral:rRNA from 1 species
ACGAACCGUGCGAACGUUGUUCGGAUUCACUGGGCUUAAAGGGCGCGUAGGCGGUACGCCAAGUCUGGGGUGAAAUCUUUCGGCUCAACCGGAAAAUUGCCUGGGAUACUGGCGUGCUCGAGGGAGGUAGGGGCAGCGGGAACUGCCAGUGGAGCGGUGAAAUGCGUUGAUAUUGGCAGGAACGCCGGUGGCGAAAGCGCGUUGCUGGACCUCUUCUGACGCUGAUGCGCGAAAGCUAGGGGAGCAAACG